AACGAACGCUGGCGGCAGGCUUAACACAUGCAAGUCGAGCGCCUCGCAAGAGGAGCGGCAGACGGGUGAGUAACGCGUGGGAACGUACCCUUAUCUUCAGAAUAGCUCUGGGAAACUGGAAGUAAUACCGAAUGUGCCCUUAGGGGGAAAGAUUUAUCGGAUAAGGAUCGGCCCGCGUUGGAUUAGCUAGUUGGUGGGGUAAAGGCCUACCAAGGCGACGAUCCAUAGCUGGUCUGAGAGGAUGAUCAGCCACAUUGGGACUGAGACACGGCCCAAACUCCUACGGGAGGCAGCAGUGGGGAAUAUUGGACAAUGGGCGCAAGCCUGAUCCAGCCAUGCCGCGUGAGUGAUGAAGGCCUUAGGGUUGUAAAGCUCUUUCACCGGAGAAGAUAACGACGGUAUCCGGAGAAGAAGCCCCGGCUAACUUCGUG
rnacentral:rRNA from 1 species